AAGGAAGUUCAUUUUGAGAGGAAGAUUAUUGUCAGUGAACAAGACAUAUCAUUAUACAAGAAGUUAAAUAGAGACCAACUUAAAGCAUAUAAUACAAUUAUUGAAAGAAUAUUCUCAUGUAGAGCAGGAGCAUUUUUCAUUGAUAGGCCAGAAGGAACAGGAAAAACAUUCUUAUAUCGUGCUUUGCUUGAAACUAUACGGUCUAAAGGAUAUAUAGCAUUGGCAACGACUACUUCUGGUGUAGCUGCUUCCAUUCUUCCUGGUGGACGAACUGCACAUUCACAGUUCAAAAUCCCAAUAAAUAUUGAUGAUAGUUUCAGUUGCAACAUUAGCAAACAAAGGUCACUUGCAUGCUUAGUUCGAGAAGCAAAAUUGAUUGUAUGGGAUGAAGUGCCUAUGGCAAAUAAAAGAACGAUUCAGGCUUUUGAUUUGCUCUUGAAAAACCUCAUGGAUGCAAAUACAAUUUUUGGUGGAAAAGUAGUGGUUUUUGGAGGCGACUUCGGACAAACGCUUCCCGUUGUUCGUAAUGGGAAGAAAGAAGAUUUUAUUAAUGAAAGUUUGUUAUACUCUGAUAUUUGGGAAGAACUCGAAAGAUUGUCAUUAUCUGAAAAUAUGAGAGCAAAGGCAGAUCCUCCAUUCUGUGAUUAUUUAAUGAGAAUUGGAAAUGGACAAGAAAAAACAAACUCUACAAAUAAAAUUGAGAUACCAGAUACUUUAACUAUUCCAUUUACCACUGAAAGAGAAUCAUUAGAAAAAUUAUUCACAGUAACAUACCCAAAUAUGCAUACAUUCUUUUCAGCAUCAUCUUCAAGUUCUC
rnacentral:lncRNA from 1 species